UAAUUUAAAGUCUAGCCUGCCCAAUGAUAAUUUUAAUGGCCGCAGUAUUUUGACUGUGCAAAGGUAGCAUAAUCAUUAGUUUCUUAAUUAGAAACUGGAAUGAAAGGUUGAACGAAAAAAUAACUGUCUCUUUAUAAUUUUUUUAGAAUUUUAUUUUUAAGUUAAAAAGCUUAAAUAGAUUUGAAAGACGAGAAGACCCUAUAGAGUUUAAUAUUUUCUAAAUUGAAUUUUUAAAUAGAAUAAUUUUUAUUUAAUUGAAGAAAAUAUUUAAUUGGGGUGAUUGAAAAAUUUAAUUAACUUUUUUUUAUAUUAAAACAUAAAUAUAUGAUUAAUUGAUCCAUUUUUAAUGAUUAAAAGAUUAAAUUACCUUAGGGAUAACAGCGUAAUUUUUUUUAAGAGUUCUUAUCGAUAAAAAAGUUUGCGACCUCGAUGUUGGAUUAAAAUUAAAAUUUGGUGUAGAAGCUAAAUCAUUAGGUCUGUUCGACCUUUAAAAUUUU
rnacentral:rRNA from 1 species